AAGGAUCAUUACCUUUCAGUACAGAAGCGUUGUGUUGGUUGAGUUGUGCUGGUUGAGUCUCGCUCACAAAGUAGGACUCCUGGUAGCAACUCCCUUCAUAAUUCUUCCUGUCUAUUAUCCUUGUCUUUUGCGUACUAUUGUUUCCUCGGCGGGCUUGCCCGCCGGUUGGACAACCUCAUAACCUAUUUAAUUUUCAAUCAGCGUCUGAAAUAAUAUAAUAAUUACAACUUUCAACAACGGAUCUCUUGGUUCUG
rnacentral:misc_RNA from 1 species